GAUGAACGCUAGCGGCAGGCUUAACACAUGCAAGUCGAGGGGCAGCGGGGUGUAGCAAUACAUCGCCGGCGACCGGCGCACGGGUGCGUAACACGUAUGGAAUCUGCCCUUUACUGGGGGAUAGCCCGGAGAAAUCCGGAUUAAUACCCCAUAACAAGCGAGGUGGCAUCAUCUUGCUUUGAAAGCUCCGGCGGUAAAGGAUGACCAUGCGCCCGAUUAGCUAGUUGGUGAGGUAAUGGCUCACCAAGGCUACGAUCGGUAGGGGGCCUGAGAGGGUUAUCCCCCACACUGGUACUGAGACACGGACCAGACUCCUACGGGAGGCAGCAGUGGGGAAUAUUGCGCAAUGGGCGAAAGCCUGACGCAGCCACGCCGCGUGUGCGAUGAAGGUCUUCGGAUCGUAAAGCACUGUGGGGGGAGAAGAACAAAGCCGGUGAAGAGCCGGCCCUGACGGUAUCCCCUUAGCAAGCACCGGCUAACUCCGUGCCAGCAGCCGACGG
rnacentral:rRNA from 1 species